AGAGUUUGAGUUAUGGCUCAGGAUGAACGCUAGCUACAGGCUUAACACAUGCAAGUCGAGGGGGCAUCAUUGGGAUAGCUUGCUAUUCAGAUGGCGACCGGCGCACGGGUGAGUAACGCGUAUCCAACCUUCCCCUUAGUAGGGCAUAGCCCGGCGAAAGUCGGAUUAAUACCCUAUGUUGUAUAUUGAGGACAUCUGAUUUAUACCAAAGAUUCAUCGCUAAGGGAUGGGGAUGCGUCCGAUUAGGUAGUCGGCGGGGCAACGGCCCACCGAGCCGUCGAUCGGUAGGGGUUCUGAGAGGAAGGUCCCCCACACUGGUACUGAGACACGGACCAGACUCCUACGGGAGGCAGCAGUGAGGAAUAUUGGUCAAUGGGCGAGAGCCUGAACCAGCCAAGUAGCCGUGCAGGAAGACGGCCCUAUGGGUUGUAAACUGCUUUUAUCAGGGGAUAAAGUGAGGGACGUGUCCCUUAUUGCAGGUACCUGAUGAAUAAGGACCGGCUAAUUCCGUGCCAGCCGCGGC
rnacentral:rRNA from 1 species